AGUGAACGCUGGCGGCGUGCUUAACACAUGCAAGUCGAACGAGAACGGAAUAUAGCUUGCUAUAUUUGUCAGCUAAGUGGCGCACGGGUGAGUAAUGUAUAGAUAACCUGCCCUUAAGAAAGGAAUAACAGUUGGAAACGACUGCUAAUGCCCUAUAUGCCUUUAAUACAUAAGUAUGCAAGGGAAACGCUUUAGUGCUUAAGGAUGGGUCUGUAUGGUAUCAGCUUGUUGGUGAGGUAAUGGCUCACCAAGGCUAUGACGCCUAACUGGUUUGAGAGGAUGAUCAGUCACACUGGAACUGAGACACGGUCCAGACUCCUACGGGAGGCAGCAGUGGGGAAUAUUGCACAAUGGACGAAAGUCUGAUGCAGCAACGCCGCGUGGAGGAUGACACAUUUCGGUGCGUAAACUCCUUUUAUAUAGGAAGAUAAUGACGGUACUAUAUGAAUAAGCACCGGCUAACUCCGUGCCAGCCGCCGUAACAC
rnacentral:rRNA from 1 species